rnacentral:lncRNA from 13 species
AUGUUUUCCCAUAUUGCUUAUAUAUAUAUCCAGUCCUCUCAGAUCGACACACAUUGGAGUUGGCUACUAGUAACCCAAUACAGGACCAUAUAUUUUGCACCUAUGGCGUGUUUAGAGGGAGCAGGCAGAAGCAAUAUGGAAUUCAUCUUUAGCUACCAUGUUUGGAGACUCUGGCAUGAAGGAGGCAAUUUAAUACAAACUGUCCAUUAUUAUCUAAAGAACCCGUCUGUUUUCAGGGCCGUUCAUCCACCUCUGAAUACAGAUUCACCCCUUUUCACGCACGCACAGAGGAGCAUGCAAAAUGGCUUUUCAGUUAAAACACAAUACAACGAUUUAAAAAGUUCCUCUGAGGCAGGAGGGGUAGUUAAAACAUAAAAUACCCUCUCUAUGUCCCAAAUGGCACUCAGGCUCUGCCACCAUCCACUGGGGUUCCAUGUCAGGGUUCCAACGGGUAGGGUUCUGAGUUCCGGAUGUUCUAGGUUCAGGCUGGUGGACUGGAGGUCAGACCUCAGAGGGAGGAGAGUAGAACCCAGAGGUUUGGGGCUAGAGCUGCCUCUCUCUCUCUCCCCAUCUCCUCAGUCCACUGGGCUCCUUCUGGGACCAGACAGACCCAUGUGUCUGCUGGCUAGACUGCCUGGAACACACGUGGAUUCAAUAUAGCAGGGAUGAGAUGCACUGAAGCUUAAGAAAGGUAACGCUAUGUUGUAAUGUAAAGCUACCGAAACAUUUACAUAUAGUUUGAAAAGUUUCUGUGAAAUUACAGUAAAAUAAUUGGACAAUNNNNNNNNNNGGUUCAGGCUGGUGGACUGGAGGUCAGACCUCAGAGGGAGGAGAGUAGAACCCAGAGGUUUGGGGCUAGAGCUGCCUCUCUCUCUCUCCCCAUCUCCUCAGUCCACUGGGCUCCUUCUGGGACCAGACAGACCCAUGUGUCUGCUGGCUAGACUGCCUGGAACACACGUGGAUUCAAUAUAGCAGGGAUGAGAUGCACUGAAGCUUAAGAAAGGUAACGCUAUGUUGUAAUGUAAAGCUACCGAAACAUUUACAUAUAGUUUGAAAAGUUUCUGUGAAAUUACAGUAAAAUAAUUGGACAAUG